GUCCAUUUUAGUAGAAGGGGAUUAAUCUUCUGAAUGCAUCUAAAUGUGCAGCACAGAAGAGGAAAAAUCACUUUGAUGGCAGGUGCGUCCUGCACCCCCAAAAUCUGAAGGGGCACCAAGUACUGUGGGCUGUGUGUUAGUCCAGGGAGGAGCUAUGCCCCCACAUCUGCAACUGUUUCAACUUUGACCUGGACAUGUAUUAUUAUGUGUAGAUUUACUUUCUUCAGUGUAUUGAUUCAAUGUGAGAAGCCAUUAGCAGCAGGGACCACUGAGUUAGGCUACAUGUAUGUCCUCUUUAAAUCAGUCCCAGAAACAUUUGUUAUCUUCAAAUCUGUUUGAGCCAAAUAUCACCUCUGUCAAAUUGAAAUGUAGUCCUCCGGGCUGUUCUCAUA